rnacentral:lncRNA from 1 species
GGUCAAUCCAGUUUUGGUGGCUCUUAAUGCGUUCAAUCCUGGUGGUGCUGAUGAGACUGCCUGGAUCUCUCUCCUUUGUGAUGGAGGAAUAUCAUGCCUGAGUGCAGCCCCUUCUUUAAUGAGUGAACAACAGACUAAUUGUCGUCUCUGGUGUCUAGCACCACAUUGGCUGCAAUGGAGACCUUUCUUGGGAAAUAUCUAAUACCUAGAUGCUCCUCAGUGAGAGCCUGUAAGCCAGAAGGUUGGUGGGGAGCUCUCUGUCUUUAACAGAUCAUGCAAAGACUGUCAAUGGUUGUGAAGCUCUCCCAACUUAGGGUGGCUAGGGGAAGAACCUGCUACUGUCUCUCCCCCUGUGUUUUCUCUAGUCAAGAAAUAACCAAUUCUGGAAAUUCUCAUGUGGCCCAGCAGGUGAAGUAUCCAGCAUGGCCACAGCUGUGGUGCAGGUCACAGCUCUGGCACUGGUUUGAUCCCUGGCCUGGGAACUUCCGCAUGCUGUGGGCACAGCCAAAAAAAAAAGAAAUAACCAAUCUUCUGCUCAGUUCUUCUGGUGAAACAAAAUAUGUGUUCCCUUUCCUAUUUCAGCAGAAUAAGUAAGGAGAAAAGCAGCUACAACUUGAAGAGGGAGAAGGAAAAGUGCUGUUUCCUUUGGGUUUGGUUCCCCAUUGAUACACUUCAGUAUUAUUUCUUUAGCAAAUAGAUACAUUUCUCUGAAUUUUUUUUUUUUAAUCAAAAGAAUGGAGCUCAUCCCUCUCAAAAAAAAAAAUGGAAGCCUAUGAAACAAGUGCUGUUGGCAGGGUGAAAUUGCAUGCUGUGUGUUUCAAGGUGGUCUAUGCAGGCAACAGGAGUAAUAGAAAUGAUUAAACCCUGUCGGAUGGGGUUAAGUUGGGAGCUUUCUUGCCUCCUGACAGGCUGUGACAGUCGAGUGGCACUGAAGCAGAACAAACGACAGUGGCAGUUUGCUGUGAGCAGUGCCACUGUCAAAGCCACUGUACAAAAGCAAAUGUUGGGGAUAACAGCCAGUAAAGUUUGCAACCUGACUGCUCAAAUGCCGAUGGCCAUGAUGUCUUCACAGUAAACUCUGGGUUAUUGUCCCCAUCUGGGGCUUUCCGCUAUUAUGCUUCGGACUGCCAAGUCUUCCUGUGCUCUGGCUAUUGUCAACUUUCCAUGUUAUAACAAAGCCUACUUCCUUUGCAAAAAGCACUGACCCAUCCUCUCAUAACCCAUGUGGAACGCUAACACUCCUAGACUAACCUGUAAGCCAAGUAUGCAGAGUUUACCAUGUUUCUGUCUGGAGUAAUUGGACACCAUCCAUAAAGAGAAAGGCCGUCCCCAUGUGAAAUCCAAUUCCAAUUAUGUGGAUGCAAGAAUAGGUUACAGUGCCGAUGUAAAUCUGCCAUCACAAAUGGGGUGAAAUACUUCACACCCAAAGCUGAAACAGUGAACUUAGCAUUGUCACCAGUUUCUUGAAAAGUUGGAAAAAAAAAUAACUUUACACCCAUGUGGCUUCACAGGUUUUUAUUAGAAGCCACAAUAGACACUUUUCACCAGUGGUAAAUGAGAAGCCUUUCAACAUUGUAAUAACACAGGGAGGGUUUCUCAGCCUCUGUCCUCCUCCGGGAAUUUUCCCAGUGAGUUCCCGUAGGCUGGAGAGAUGAGAAGUUUGCCCACGGUGUUUCUAUCACACAAGCUUGAUUUUAGCAUUGCACACUGUCAUAUUUUUCGGGUGUGGGGGAGUCCAACAGAAAAGAUGUAAUUCAAAUCUACAGUUUGCAGGGUGCUUUUUGUCUUACCUCUUAUGAGGUCAAAUCAGCCAGGAGUCAUACAUAGAAGGUAGGAAAUCUCAGAUCCUAACAUCGGUUUUUCUCUCCAAGAAACCUAACCGGAUAGGCUCCAUGUGUGCUGUACAUGCUGGUGCUCGCAGCACAAGAAUGGUUAUAUCUCAUUAGUAAAAGUAAUGACCAUGAAUUGAUAAAAGACCUCUUGAAGGAAAAACCAUCUCCACAUACCUCUGUACCUACAAUAAUUCAUAAGAUCUGUGAUUUAGAAGUUUCAUCUUCCUUAACCUGCAGCUGAAGAGGCAAACACAAUCAUUCUACUUUUUACUGUUAGGAAAGGGAACCUAUAUUUUUAAAAGAGUAGUAAAUUAGCUAGUGCUGGAAGCAUCUAUUUUCUCGCCUUCAUCACUGCCAGAUCCCUCUGUUUGCUUUGAUCUAUGAUUUGCAAGCUACCAUUAUUAUUUAUGUGUUCUACAAUUACGACCAGUGACACCUCCCCUUCUCCAGCCCUAAGCCACAAAUAUGAAAGGAAUGAAUGCUGUUUAUUGUGACAGUCUGCUUUUUGUCGGGAAACAAUGACAAACGAUACCACUGACGACGGCUCACUACUGUUUUUACUACUGCUCCCCAGCUCACUUCUCGAGUGUUCUCCAGAAUUGACAAUAGAUGGACUCAGAUAAAAAUGCCUAGUGAGAAUCUGUUGCAUUCAUUUACCUCCCAAUGAGCUCUUUGGGGGACAUUUAUUGGAUUAAAAAACAGAAGGCCCAGCAGUGUCAGGGCAUUUUAAGGAUUUUGUAUAUCUUUGGAGGGGAAGAGGGAGCUUUCCUAGCUUAAUGAGGUUCUCUAACCUCUAAUGUACUUAGCUUUUAAAAUGUAUUUAAUUUUGAAAUCAUGCAGUCUGCAGAUAAUGUGAAGAGAAAAUGCAGAUCAGAGCUGUUUAUGAAUUUUUGGUAAAAUUUCUAUUUCCUCAGCUUGGGAACUUUUAGCAGAGCAGCGAUCUGCUAAAAUCACUGGAAGGACCAAAAUGCGUGAGGUCUUCCAAAAGGCCUAGACUAAUUGGCUUUUUAAGCUGCGUUAAGAUGACACGUUUACUAGAUAAUUGCACCUUAUGGAACAGAACAGAUUAAUAAAUAAAAGAGUCACUACAAUUUUGGGUAUGCCCACUUAUAAAUAUUUGAUAGCCAGCCUUCCUUGUCUGAUGUCACUAGUCAGAAAAAAUUACUAAAAGCCAGCACCUAUCUCUGGUCGCAAGGAGAGAUUGCGAUUAGGAACAUAACAUUCUGCUUCCUCUUGUUUUUGGUUGUUUG